CGAUGCUGCCCCCGAUGCUGCAGGAGCCCUUCAUGGAUCUGGAGGAGGUGAACUGGUGGCUGCAGGUGCUCAUCGUGCCAAGGAGGGAGAUCCCACGCUGGGCCUGGCAGCUCCAUUCAUCCAGCUGAGCUGGGGGAGAGCACCGGUCAUGGGCCCACUCAGGCACGCAUGGAGAGCCUGGUGUGUGUUGUACGGUUCUGUGAGCAGGGAUGACGGGGGCGUUAUUCCUGCCACCAGUCCUCAGAGGGGACAGAGGGGUAACCAGAGACAGGUGGAGAUUCACUCAAAGUCACUCUGCUUUAAGCUGCAGAGCUGCAACUAGAACCCAGACCUCAGCCCUCUCCAGGCUCCCACCAUGCCUGCAGGCGGGGCCAGUAUACCCAACUCUCACCCACCUCCCCACGAUCACUGGCAUGAGGUCUGCCCAGGGUGGGCGUGGCCUUGGCCUGAGAGGCUGGUGCAGCACCGAGGACUGGAGGGAGGAGGAGGGAUCUGGGCACCAAGACGGGGCCUCCUCAGGGUGCCGUGGGGCAUCCCUUGGUGCUGGCCACUGGCCUUGCUCUGCAGUGCCUCUGUUGAGGUGAGGAGCCCAGAGACAGCCUGCCUCUGCCUGGGCUCCACUGGGGCAGGCAAUUCCUUGUCUCAGCAG
rnacentral:lncRNA from 1 species